GCCCAAAGCCAGGAUAAAAGGGCCUCACAGUCAGGGCAUCUCUAUACCCUCCUCUCCUGAGGUGCUGACAAACCCAGUGCUGCCUGUGGACUGCUCCUGACCCCGCCAGCCCAGAUGUCCUGCCAGCAGAACCAGCAGCAGUGCCAGCCCCCUCCCAAGUGUCCCGCCCCCAAGUGUCCCCCAAAGUGUCCCCCCAAGUGCCCCCCAGUCUCUUCCUGCUGCAGUGUUAGCUCUGGGGGCUGCUGUGGCUCCAGCUCUGGGGGUGGCGGCUGCUGUAGCUCUGGGGGUGGCGGCUGCUGCAGCUCUGGAGGUGGUGGGUGCUGCCUGAGCCACCACAGGCGACACAGGUCCCGUCGUAGACACCAGAGCUCUGGCUGCUGCAGCCAGCCCUCAGGGGGCUCAGGAUGCUGCAGUCAGCCCUCGGGGGGCUCUGGCUGCUGUGGAGGAGGCAGCAGUCAGUCCUCUGGAGGCUGCUGCUGAUGGGGACCCUGAGGCAAGGAGAUCAGACCUGGAAGCACAAACUGCUGAGAACAUCAUCUUUCUUCUGCUAGGCCUGCCUCAGAGUCUGAGAAUUCCCAGAGAAGACUGAACAUGCAAAGACAAUAUGGCAACCCUGGGGUCUAGAAACUGACCCUCUCCUGCAUCCCUGUGUACUGGCCUUGAAUUCUAUUCCCAUGUCAAAGCCCUAAGCAAUUCUAUGUCACAACUUCUCACACAGUGCUGUCUCACUGAUGUGAAACAAUAAAACUGGGAAUCUACUCAA